rnacentral:lncRNA from 1 species
AUCCACUUCAAACCUGUCCUCUUCCCACCAGUCUCCAUGGUCUCUCCAAAGGCAGGACAGAAGAAUUCAUGAGUCAUGGAAACAGAAAACAGGAACACUGGUCCAACGUGGUACAGAAAAGAUUGAGCUAUUUCUGAAGGUAAGAAUGUCUCACUGUGUAAAGAAGGUAAGGGGGGAACACAGGAGAAAGAAAGGAUGUGAGCCCAGCCGGCAGCUGGCUGGUGGCAAGGAGAGCCCAAAAUGCUCACGUAAUAGGUGGAACCCAGCAUGUGCUCCACAAAGGGGGACCUGGGACAGGGGCUUCAAAGGCCCGGAGCUAAAGAACUGGAUCCUACUCUGUAAACAAGCAGGUGUAGUCUGAAGUUUGAGCUCACAGCUCUAUAACGACAGAGAGCAAGACAGAUUUGAGAAGUAUUUGGGUUAACUGGCAGGACCUGAGGAAAUGUGCCUGGGGAUUGUGAAAAGGGUGAAUCAAGGAGGACUCAGUUAGGCUCCUGGUGAGGGCAAGAGGCAAGUGGAGGAACCGUCACCACUUGAGAUGAAGAAGCCAGGAGAAGAACAGGUCCUGGUGUCCUAGUGGCUGUCAUUCACAUUUGAGAUGGAUGCCACCAGUCUGCGUGUGGGAAGAGAGCGCUGAGAUCAUUGCAGAGCAAGAGGUAGCCCGAGUGAAGGGGAAGCCCAGGGAUGGGGGGAAAAGAUGCCAGAAAAGAAGAAAGGUCAAAAGCCAGAUCUGUUCCCUCCUCCACAGCCCUUGUGAUGUGACAUAGUACACCACUGACAGAGCAGGCAAGACACCCAGGGUCCCGACUCCUGGUCUACGUAUUCUUUAUUUCUGUCAUAUUCUUAUAAGAUGGAGACGCAAUAUUACUUUCCUCUCUCCUUUCAAGAAUCUGUUUUUCCCAGCUAUCUCACAACAUUUAAAGUUUUUAAAAAAAUAUUUUUAAUUGGGGCUGGGGUUGUGGCUCAGUGGUAGAGCACCCGCCUCGCACGUGUGAGGCACUGGGUGCGAUCCUCAGCACCACAUAAAACUAAAUAAAGAUAUUGUAUCUAAGUAUAGCUAAAAAUAUUAUGUAUAUAACAUAUUUAUGAUGGACACAAUACCUUUAUUUUAUUUAUUUAUUUUUAUGUGGUACUGAGGAUCGAAUCCAGUGCCUCACAAUUGCUAGGGAAGUGCUCUACCAUUGAACCACAACCCUAGCCCCAAAACAUUUAAAAUUUAAUUUUAAAAAUAAAAGAAAGGACCUGAGGAUGUAGAUCAGUUGUAGACCUAAUGCUUAGCAUUCUUGAGGCCCUGGCUUCAAUCCCCAGCACCAAAGUAAAAGCAAUAAAUGCACAUUAAAAUAUUCAAAUGAUCUAGAAAAGAACAAAACAAAAAUUUAUUCUUCCUUUCCACAUUCCAAGCUUUCAAUUUCUUCACCCUUUCUAUGGGGGAAGUUGACCACUAUUAAAGGGUUCUUGUGUAUCUCUGAAAAAAACUGAAUAUCUUCAUCUAUACUUGAGGGUCCAACCCAGGGCCUCACACAUAGGAGGCAAACACUUUACCACUGAGCUACAGCCCCAGCCCCUAGCAUAUACUUUUAUUUACACAAAUGGUGUCAUGCUACAAGCACAAUGCUUUGUUCAUAUAAUAUGUCAUGUUGCUUGUUCAUGUAAUAAUCUGUCUUCAGAGGUAGCUUGGUAUGGUGGUUGAGAGAAUGGCCUUGGGAGUCAGAAUGCUCAGUUUUCAUCCAACAUUGUGAGACAUUCUGAUACCUACAUUUGUGAGACAAUAGACAGGUUAUUCUGUGUUUCAGUUUUUGCCUUUGUAAAUGAGGUUAAUAAUGGUACCCCACUUUACAGGAUUGUUGUGUUAAAUAAGUUAAUAUAUCUAAAGCACUCAGAAUACUAAUUGCUCUAUAUUCAUUAUUACUAUUACAUGCUUACAUCAACAUAUGUAGAUCUGAUCAUUUUCUUUUUUCACACAUUGCAAUAAAUUAUUCUGAAAAAAAAUAGUAAUUUUUGUUUGUUGUUUUUGUACUGGGGACUGAACCCAGUGACACUUUACCACUGAGCUACAACCCCAGUCCUUUUAACUUUUUAAAUUUUGAGACAUGGUCUCACUUUUCUUGCCUCAGCAUCCAGAGUAGCUGGGAUUACAGGUGUGCACCACCACAGUCAAAUGUUUUUGGUUUUGAGUUUCUUUUACAGUAAACUUUUCAACUACAAAUACUGAAUCUAAGAAUGAUGUUCUGGGGCUAGGUAGGUAUGUGCAGCUCAGUGGUCCAGCGGCUUGCCCAGUAUGUAAAAGGCCCUGUGUCUGAUCCCCAGCAUGAGGGAAUAAAAGAUGUUUCGAGGACAAGCAUAACAGGAUUGAUAAAACGCAAACUAACUAAAUAUAUACUUAUAAUAUAAACUGGCAUACAAAUUAUCAAAUAUCAUAACAACAGUAAUGUGUCAGGACACAUGACUAAACCAGGCAAGGUCACUCCAGGUGAACUGGGCUGGAACGAAAUAAUGACAGAGAGAGAGAAAUACUUUUCUCUUUGGGUUCUGUGACGGCCCCUCUGACCCAGCUCCCACAAAGGAGGUAAGGCAGGCAAGAAAGAGAGGGAACACGCCUCAAACCCGGGUUUUAUUGCGGGAGGCUGUCCAAAAGAACAUUCCAUCCAUAUAAGGCAGAAGGGUAAUGUUACAAGGGGCAGUUACUCCCACCGGGUAACGCCCACUCCCAGAGCUGUGCUCCUCCUCUGAGCAGAGAUGGGGAUCCCCCUGCACUUCCGCACUUCCAUCACUCACAGGUAGGGGGUGCUCAGCUCCCAUGUGGCAGCUCCCACGAUAAUGUACAUACACUAACGAUUUAUGGGUAAACAUUAACCAUUCUAAUUCCAGUUCCAAAAGAUAAUAGAGUUCAUUUUAAGUUAUAUUUAAAAGCUAAUGCUUUCCAAAGGGCUGAUGAUUUCAUAUUUAAAAUGCAAGGCCUCCACCUUGAAAUUGUAUUGUAUUGGCUUCAGAAAAAUAUAAAUCAUUGCUUUAUUUAUUUAUUUUUAAUAUUUAUUUUUUGUUACAGUGGGAAACAACAGCUCAAAUCUACAUUGUUAUAUCUGAUGCCAGCGAUCGAACCCAGGGCCCCCCACAUGCUAGGAAAAUGCUCCACUGCUGAGCCACCUCCCCAGCCAGUUUUGCUUUAUUUUGAAUAACUCACUAACCUUACGAAAAGAAAAAAGGACUAGGGGUUCAGCUCAGUAGCAAAGCACCCCUGGAAUCAAUCCCCAGAACCAGAGAGAGAGAGAAUAUCCCAUUGUAAGCACGCUAAUUAAUAUUUAGCUGAGUGGUGAUGGUGGAGUGGAACUGAUGAAAGAGGCUCCUAGACAUGUAGAAGUCAGUACAAAAACUUUGAUAAUUCUUGGUGGGUAAGGGCAACUUCAUGCAACCAAAUAACAUGAAAGUAAAUCAAUAACCUUCAGAAAAGACUAAAAUGUCUCCUCCCACCACAGAGAGCAAUGUGAACAGUGUACACGCAAACCGGGGUUCUGUCCAUGAGAACUAGGACUACCUGUAGUUCCUAUCAAACCCAAGAACAUCAGAGGCCCAGCCAUCUCACCUCCCGAGGCCUCCCUGACCCCAGCAAGUUAGGCAGCUGAGCCUCCACUGGUUUCCCUCAUGUCUCAAGUGUCUGCUGUGCCACGGGCCUCUCAGCCCUGAGGCUGCUCUGAUGUCCUCUCAUUUGCAGUCUUGUUGCCUUGGCUUCCUGGAGAUUCCCAGGACUCCUAGAGGACUUCCCUGAAGCGCAUGGCUUCUCCACUCUUGGGCUGCCCUCUCCAGCUUCUCUCUCACCCUCGCUGCCCUCAUCUGUGGCAUGCCCACCUUCUCCCUCGGUUUCUGAAGAGCCCUGCUGCUGAGCUGCGUGGAUUCCAGUACAUUUCACUCCUGGGUUACUGUCUAUUUCCCACAAUCCAUUAAAUCAUUUCCAUGUGUUUGACUUUCCAAACAUGUCUUUGCUUCUUUAUAUGGAAAAAGGUCUUUAGGGCCUAAAAAUGCAGUUUUACAGGUGCCAAAAAAUAAGGUAGGACACUUGUGUGCUGCUUCUCGGCGCCCCCCAGGAGGUCAUCCAUCCAGGAGGGGCCAGUGUGAGUAGCCUUCUUGUUGGUGAUGACCAGGUCACCUGCUCUGUAUUCCUGGGGCUCAGGAUGCAACAUCCUGGCCAUUCAUUCCCCUUCCUGGUCAUCCUCUGUAACCACCAAGACGCUGAGAGGCCACACCUCUCCCCCCUGCAGGCAGUGCCCCCAAAGACCUUAAACUUGGUGGGUGGGCCUGAUAAUUCUUCAUCAUUUUGGUGAUCUUCGAUCCUUCUUGUAGAUCAAAUUAUCAUCUGGGGUUAUUUCCCUUCAUGCUGAAGAAAUUCCUUUAGCAUUUCUCACAGUGCAGAUUCCUUGUAACACGUUCCCUUUGUUUUUCUUUAAAGCCAAGUUUUUAUUUUGACUGUGUGUGUAGGUGUGGUACUAGGGAUUGAAUCCAGGGGUGCUCUACCAUUGAGCUUCAUCUCCAGCACUUUUUUUUUUUGAGACAGGGUCUCACUAAGUUGCUGAGCUGACCUUGAACUUGCAGUUCUCCUGCCUUAGCCUCCUGAGCCACUGGGAUCACAGGUGUGUGCCAUCAUGCUCAGUUUGGCUUCAUUUUUUUUCCUGACAUGAUGAUGCCCAUUGUAUACUUUUCCUUCUUUCCACUUUUUUUUUUUUUUGGUACCAGGGAUUGAACCCAGCCACUUCCCCAUCCUUUUUAAAUAUUUUAUUUAGAGACAGGGUCUUGCUGAGUUGCUAAGUUGCUGAGGCUGGCUUUGAACUCAGGAUCUUCUUGCCUCAGCCUCCCAAGAUACUGGGAUUAAAGGCAUGUAUCACCACACCCGGUUCUUUCCACAUUUUUUAUUGAUGCAUUAUAGUUGUACAUAAUAAUGGGCUUGUUGUUAUAACUUGGCUUAAAUUUUAAAGGAAAGUUUUGCUGGAUACAUAAUUGGGGGCUGACAAUCAUUUUUCUUUCAGUACAUUUACUUCUACUCUCCAUUGUUUCUCCUAGGAAUCUGCUGUCACUGGGUGUGGUGGUGCAUGCCAGUAAUCCCAAGGAGUUGAGAGGCCGAGGCAAGAGGAUCACAAACUCAAGGUCAGCCUCAACAACUAAGCAAGAUUAUCUCAAAACUAAAAAGGACUGGGGAUAUGACUCAGUGGUAAAGUGCCCCUGGGAUCAAUCCCUGGUACCACAAAAACAAACAAGCAAACUUAUCUUUAUAUAUAUAUAUUAGUUGUAGAUGGACACAAUACCUUUAUUUUGUUUAUUUAUUUUUAUGUGGUGCUGAGGAUCGAACCCAGUGCCUCACACGUGCAAGGCAAGUACUCUACCACUGAACCCCAGCCCCAAACAAACUUAUCUUGCUGGGGGUUUGUUGAUUGGUCUGUAAGUUAAUAUAUUUCAUUAAAUUUGUAGAGUUCCUGGCCAUUGCUCCUUCAGAUAUUUUCUGCCCAUUCUUUCUCGAGUUUCCUCUGGAGCUCUAGUUACACACACGUUAGAUGGCCUGAUACUGUCCCAUGGGUCUCUGAGGUCUUUUCUUCAAUCUUUUUUUUUUAUGUUUCUAAAACUGAGUAAAUACUAUUGACCUGGUUUCCAUUUUUAUUAUUUUGAAAUGCUGGGGAAUCAAACCCAGGGUCUUAAGUAUGCUAAGCAAGCACUCCACCAGUGAGCUACAUCUCAGUCCAAUCCAUUUUUCAGUCUAAGAAGUUUUCUGCUACCUGGAAUCUGCUACUGAGCUUGGCCAGUAAAAAUUUCAAUUUAGUUAAUGUAUGUUUUUCAUAAAAUUCACAAUUUUCACUUUUUCUUUCUUUUAUUUUUAUUUUGUUUGUUUGUUUAUUUAUUCAUCCAUUUAUUUUGUGGUGCUGGGGAUUGAACCCAGGGUCUUAAGCAUGCAAGGCAAGCACUCUACCAACUAAGCUAUAUUCCCAGCCCUCUUUUUUUGAUUUUUUGAUACUGGGGAUUGAACCAAGGGGUACUUAAUCGCUAAGCCACAUCCCCAGCCAAUUUUUUAUUUUGAGACGGGGUCUCACUAAGUUCUUAGGGCCUCGCUAAGUUGCUGAGGCUGACCUUGUACUUGUGAUCCUCCUGCCUCUGCCUCCCAAGUCCCUGGGAUUACAGGCUUGCACCACCACACAAGGCAGUUUUCACUAUUCUAAGGCAUACAAUUCAGUGACAUUGGGACACUUUACAAUGUUACACAAGGACUAGAACCACAUCAUAAUUCCAAAACAAGACCCCAUUAAGCAGUCCCUCUCCAUUCCUGCCUCCUGAGCUCUUGGCAAACACUAACCUUUAGCUCUUUUCCAUAGUUUCAUAGUUUCUAUUUCUAGGCUGAUAUUUCCUGAUUGGUACUGUGCACAUAUCUGUAUAUAGAUGCUUUAACGUCCUUCCUUGUCUGUUAGUUAUAACAUCUUGAGUUUGGCUUGCUUUUUUUUUUUUUUUAUUGGAACUGGGUUGGCCUAGUGUCAGAGAUAUUUGUCCUUCCCACAGGUGACCAUGAACCUGUAUCCUGUGAAACCUCCACCUUAUCAGACAAAUGGAAGACUGUCGCACCCCCACCCCAACCUUGGAAUUCUGCAUCGGUGGCACAAUUCAGUAGGAACUGGUGAAGCAGCGAUUUCCAAGUAAAAAGUCUGUAUUAAUUACAAUUACGUAGAACUGCCCUUAUGGUAAACUUUUUACCAACAAAAUAUUCUUAUACUAACAGCAUUACCUGCCCCCCCCACACACACACAAAAAAUAACAUUAUCACAACAAGAAGUAAAUAACUGGCCAUUGUAUCUGCUUUUAUAAACAGAUAUUUCAUGGGAUUUGCCCAUCAAACAUAAAGGCACAUUUGUGAUUCUGAUAACCUAAGACUUUAAACUGUAUUACAAAAUUAUUGCUGUCCAGAGACUAAAGCUGAGGUUUACAAGCCUGUUCUGCCUUCCUGCGGGCCCACUAUGCUUAUAAAUGACACCUUCUAGUGUCUUAAAGUAUGAGAGGCAGCUAGUCCUGAAUUCUCAGGCUGCUAAUGGUUUCACAUAAAAUGAGCUCCUACAAUUUUAUUAGCACCAUGGUGGAACUUCACAGGUGAGGAGCCACCAGGGAAAGGACAAGGACACGGCUCUCAUUUCUGGCCUCUGACUGCUCCAAGAGCAAGGAAGUUUUCCACUCCAUAUUUCAAAUGAUUGCUCCAACUCCCCAGGCUGCUGAUUAAUCCAAAUAGGCUCUACUAUGUUGUUUAGGGAAACCAGGAAUAAGUCACCAAGUCAUCCCUCUGGAGAGAGGGUGAAGUGAAUUCACUUCCUAAACUCACAGCUGUGAAGCUGAUUAAGCAACUUCACUUUAUGAACCCUCAUAUUGUAUUGAGGCCUAUCAGCUGAUUGUGCACAUUGAGAAAUAACCCCUGGAAAAAAAUUAAAUUUCACCUCCCAAUCAGAUAAACCAGACAUGAGUUUCGUAAACAUGCCCACAACACAAAGAUUAUUGUAACUUGGAGAAGUGAUCAUGCUAGACACACAAGAAAAAGGUCCCAAUGGUUCUGUAAACUUCACGUUUUAGUGCCUCACAUUUAUAUGAAGUCUUAACAAUACACAACAUGCCAAACAGAGAACCGAUGGGCUGCUUUUGAAAGAAAACAACUCCUAGAAGCCUUUAAACAGGGCUGAUUACCCAAAAUUACAUGAAAUUACAUGUUCAGAUAUACAUAAUUUUGUGUAUUUCCUUCACUUUGAAAGUGACUUUAUAGUAGUCUAAGACUUCAUUAGAAACAUUAUUUUAUCUGGAAAAAACAAAACACCCUAAAACCAUACAAACUAAAAAUAUUUUUUCAAUUUUCAAAAGGAAUCAACUAAUAGUAUUUAUUUUUUACUAUCUAUUAACAAUAAAAUCAGUAAAUUAACUUUGAAGAGCCAAACAUGAAAAACAGUUCAAUAUGGCAGGCUCUUGGUUUAGAACUUUUUAAAAAUUUCAAAUUCAAACAAAACAAAAUUCCACAUAAAUGACUUACAUUAAAAAGCUUUCAAAACAUAACAAAACUCAACUUAAAACUUGCACACAAAAGUUUUCCUUUUUAAGGCCAACAAUCUGCCAGGAUCAUUCAUCAUAGGCUCAAAAGUGAUGAAAACUAAACCAGCUGCCAAAACGCAUGUACUUUGUAGCACAAAUGACUAAGGAUGUAACACCCACUAACUGACCUGCAGAGAAAAGGCAGCCUUAAUUUAUUCUGCCUGCUCUGGCUUUACUUUCUGUUAAAACAUAGACCCAUCACCAUGUUCAACCCUUUCUUCAUGCAUCUUAUCUUAAAGAAACAGGGACAAAGGAAAGAACCCAGAAAAGGAGUGGCAAGAAACAAACUGGGAUUUGUGAGUCAGAAAUUUAAGAUUAUCCCAUUUGCUAAAUCUAUAAUAACAUCACAAAUACUUCUUUCUUCUCUAAGGUGUAGAGUUGAAGCUGGAAUUAUUACCUUUGUUAUAUACUGGAUAUACUCCUCUGCACACAGUAGCUUUUGGGUCUUUUCCAAUUCAAAAGCACCAGUGCAGACACAGCGCCAAAGUGAGCAACAGUGAAGAGAAGUCCCGGACUAGAUGUCAUAACUGGGCAAUCCUGCCAGGGGAGCAGCAACAGAAGCCAGCUUAUUAUUAGUCUCCAAAUAUAGAAGUCUUUGUAACGGAAGCUCUGGAAUGUCAUCUGUCUUAAAUUACAUCCACCUGGGAUUACAUUCUCUUGACCAAUACAGCCAGAAUACUGGAACUUGAAAACCUCACUUUCUGGUAAUUGACAUUUAAAGUGUUUGAAGUUUCUCAUUAAGGUCUCUUAACAAAUUAACUGCAGAUGUAGGAAGCUAAGUGUGUAGUGCUCAGAGCAAUGAAGUCACCUGAAAGCUGCAAACAACUAGAACUAUUUAAGUGCAGUAAGUACAUUAUAGGUGAGGAGGAACCAUGCCCCUUAGGCUGCAGAGUCUGACCACUUUUUCUGUUCCAAUUAGCGUUCUCAGCAUGCUUUGUUUUGCAGUGUGGAGGUUGAACCUAGGGCCUCCAGCAUGCUGGGCAAGUGCUUUACCACUAAGCUAGAACCCCCCACACACACACCUCCAGUGUGGUUUGAAUGUAAUUAAAGAGGUAAGAGGCUGAAAUAGCAUGGAAUUACACUAGGACCAGAUUGCAGACUGGAGGGCUGACUUGAUGGAAGGCGAAAGAAAUUAAACAUCUCUACUGUACCCAUGCUACCAACAGGAUGUAAGUAAAGUCCCGUCCUGGGCUGGCCUGUGAAGCCUUCAGUCUGGCCCCAAACCCACCCACUCAGCUUCAUGUCUAGCCCCUUGCCACUGGGCACCCCACAGCACACAAUUCCUUUCUUCCCUUCUUUCCUCUAAGGAGCUGCCUCAGUAAUAAUGAUCAGGACCUGGGACACAGUCCUCACUCUUUCAGAAGAAUGUAUAAAUGAGUGUCUGAAUUAUAAAAAGAAACAUGGGGCUGUGGUUGUGGGUCAGUGAUAGAGCACUUGCCUAACGUAACGUGUGAAGCACUGGGUUUGAUCCUCAGCACCACAUAAAAAUAAAUAAAUAAAGUUACUGUGUCCAUCUACAACUAAAAGAAAAAAUAUUAAAAAUAAAAAUAAGAAGAAACAUUAUCAUAAAUACCUCUUACUUAAAAAUAAUAUAAUUGGGGCUGGGGAUAUAGCUCAGUGGUAGAGCACUUGCCUAGCAAGCCCUGGGGUCAAUCCCCAGUACUGCAAAAAAAAGACACAUCAAGGCAAGCAUUCUUGAUGAUUACACCUCUAAUCCCUACUACUCAGGUGACUGAGGCAGGAGGAUUGCAAGUUUGAGGCCAGCCUGGAAAACUUAACAAAACCCUGUGCCAAAAAAAAAGAGCCAGGGAUGUAAUUCAGUGGUAGAGUGAGUGCUGCAUAGCAAGCAUGAGACUCUGGGCUUGCUUCUCAGCCCCACAAAAUAAUAAUAAGAGCCAGGUUUAGUGGUGCACACCUAUAAUCCCAGCAAUUUGGGAGACUGAGGCAGGAGGAUUGCAAGUUUUAGGCCAGCCUAGGUAACUUAGCAAGACACUGUCUCAAAAUAAAAAGUUAUAAAAGAACUGGGGUCAGGUGUGGUGGCAUAUGCUUGUAGUUCCAUCUACUCAGAAGUCUAAGGCAGGAGGAUGCAAAAGUUCAAAGCCAAUCUCAGCAAUUUAGCAAGAUCCUCAGCAAUUUAGCGUGAUCCUGUCUCAAAAUAAUAAAGAAAAAGGGCUGGGAAUGUGGCUCAGUAGUAAAGUGCGCCCGAGGUUCAAUCUCUGGUACCAAAAAAAAAAAAAAAAAUCCACAUCAAGUAGUAAACCAUAUGAUUGUAAAAAUAAAAAGAUAAAAAGUUAAGUUUCGUAUCCCUCAUUAACAAUAAUCCAGGAGAUAGUAACAUUUUUUUAAUAAUUCCCCAAAUAGUAGACUAAUUAAUAAAAUGCACCUGUUUCCAUCUUCAUAAAUCCUUUCUUUGUUAAUGUCGGGGAUCCUCAUUUAACACACUGAAUGUUUGUGAAAUCUAAAAUCUGCUGAUCCCUGCUGGUCACUGGCUAGUUGCUAAUACUCAGUAGCCCCCACACAAACAGCCAGGCAUCCUGCUGGUUUCAGAGCCGGCUAGCUAGCAGCUCCACCUGGGCCCUGGUCCUCAAGAAGCUUCCAGCAUCAAGCAAACAGCGGAGUUCCCCGGUGGCGACGCUGCAGGUACCCCACCCCCUCUUCCCCGCAGCAGUCUGGUGAUUGACUGGUGCACACUUUCCACCUCAUCCCAGUACGUCACCAGGGGUGUUUAGGGAAGGGCUAGGGAAUGAUUCAGGGUUGGGGACAAACAAAAACAGAAGAAACUUCCAGGAUGGAAGUGAAGGUCGCUUUGGAUCUAAAAUGCAUCCACCCACCUGAAAGACCAUGACUUUUUCCCUCUGUGGUGCCGGGUUGGGAGCCCAUGGUUCACACAUUCGAAGAAAACCUUCUACCACGGAGCUGCUUCCCAACCACAGAUUUUUUAAAAAAUACAGCUUCUGGAUGCCAAGUUGGUCCUGAGUUGAGGAAGAUAAGUAUAUUCCAUGGGUGAGAAAUUCUGAAACAGACAUAAUGGCCAGCAUAAUGGACACCCCAGGGCUAGGGUAAUGCCACAUGCUGACAUUAAGGGUUCCCCUCUACCCACUACUCAAUUGCAUAAACCAACAAAGUAGACCACUAUGUACAAAAGAUGUCCUGUUUAUGUCCUGCUUUGGAAAACUUUCACAAAAGAGGGACUAUUAAGAAAUCUGAAAACAGCCCUGGCCUGUAUUCAAAAACUCAAGCCAAGAAAGAACCUUCAGAUUUGACAUCUUAAAUUAGCAGGAAUGUUUAGACAAAUCUAUAAUCUAGGAAAACAUACAUACACCCACACUCACACAUACAAGCCUGCCUUUCCACACUCUCAUGUCAAAUCGAUAAUUAGUAAGGAAUUCUGCUUACUGGGGCCAUAUGAUGAUACAUUCAUUCAGGAAUUCUCUAGUCAGUGUUUAUUGUGUGCCAGGCACUGUGCGGGGCACUGGCAGGAAGGGGUGGAGUUUUCAAUCUAAUGGAGAAGAUCAAAUACAACAGGGAAAUGCACACAUUCACAUCCCAGGAUCAACUGGGUGAAUGCCAAGAAUGGGAUGCUCAGAGGGAGGGAAAAGGGUGGGAAGAAGGACAGGCUCUAGGUCAUCGUACCCCUCUGAGAAGGGGCCAUUUAUGUAUUCAUCUGACCUUUUUCCAUCCACUGCUUGUUGGUGUUCUAAUGAGACAGGUACUACACCCAGCAGUCAGUGCCUCAUCUCAUCUUUUUUUUUUUUUUAAAUUUUUUAGUUUUAGGUGGACACAGUAUUUUUAUAUAGUUUUAUGUGGUACUGAGGAUCAAACCCAGUGUAUCACACGUGCUCAGUGAGCACUCUACCACUUGAGCCACAACCCCAGCCCCUCAUCUUUUAAUUCUAAGAGACCUGGGGUCUGAACCCCCUGAGCCUCCAAGGUCACGGUCUUGCUUAAGGAGACAGGAAGCCUAUGUGCUUGGUGAGUGGAGCACAGGAGAAACACAAGAGAUAGAGAGGCAAGGUCAACCGUACUCCAAGGUCAAGGAAAGGGGCUGCUUUUCAUGAGUGCAAUGGGAGGAUGUUAAACAGUCAUGAAAUGAACUAAUUCGUGUACUCAGAAAAUGAUAUGGGGGCUGGUGAUAAAGCUCGGUUGGCAGAGUGCUUGCCUUACUUGCACAAGUCCCUGGGUUUGACCCCCAGCACCCCCAACCAAAAAAAAAAAAAAAAGAAAGAAAAUUAUUUGGAGCUGGGCAUGGUGGCACACACCUAUAAUCCCAGCAGCUCAGGAGGCUAAGGCAGGAGGAUCUUGAGUUCAAAGCCAGCCUCAGCAACUUAGUGAGGCCUUAAGCAAAACCCUGUCUCAAAAUAAAAUACAAAAAGGGCUGGGUUCAAUCUCUGGUACAAAAUUUAAAAAAAAAAAAUUGUAGGCAACCACUAGACUCCACUUCCCACCUGCUAAAAUGGCUAAAAUAAAGGUAAUAGAAAAUAGCAAAGGUGGGGGAGAUGUGGAGAAAUCAGAGCCCUCCAGUUGGGGCCACUAGCCUGGACGAUCCCUGUGGGCUCCACACAAUCACAAUCACCAAGUUCCUUCGGGGAGAGGGAAGCAGAAGAGGACACAGAAACUGCAACGUAGAGCUCACCCUGCUGUUGCAGGCUUCCCCAGGGAGGCACAGGCCAGGAGUGAAUGGAGGCAAGGAAGGGAACACGCCCUGUGGACACCUGGGUUACAGCCACCAAGACCCAGGCCAGACUCCUCACUUCCAGAAGUGAGACUUUGUUUGUUUGAAGCCCCAGAGUCUGUGGUAAUCUGUUCUAGGAACAGAAAACCAGGACAGUGGAAAAGAGUUGGCAACUGACGGGGGAAUCAACAGAGCUGGCAGCAGAUGGAAUGCGGGCAGGAAGGGAGAUGAGGCGUCAAAGACGACUGGGAGUUUUGAGCCUCCCUGACCUUAAUGAAGGGAAGGUGGCAAGAGCCUUCAGAGGAGGGCAGGGCUUCUGAGGACCCGACAGAUGGCUGCCAUCUGAGAGGUCCAAGGAAGACAGGCUUCCAGGAGGAAGUGGUACUGGCCACAGGCCCUAAAGGAUGAGCAGAAUUUGGCUGGGGAACUGUGAGCACAGCAGAGAGGGGAAGGGCGAGAGAGUGUGGAGUGGUCAGCAUCUGGGUGGACGGACACAGUGCGAGGUAGGCAGUGUGGGAAGAGGGAUGGCAGGAGAGGAGGCACAGGAAUGCCAUGUUAAGGGCUCCAGGCUCCAUGGGGCAGAUAAAUGGAGGUCAUCAGGGAAGUUAUGCUGGGUAAGGGGGUGGGCAACAUGAUCAGAGCCCAGCUUUGGGCAGCUCAGGGUGAGGAAGCAAUGUGAUGGGAGUGGAGAGAGAAGUUUUGAGGGUAAAGCUUCUCUGCAGUGCCCAGUAGCAGCCAUGUCACCAGACCACCAGGGAAGUCCCUGUUGUCUUACAGCAGCACAGGCAGACACUAAUGAUCUGAAUUCACAGUCUGGACUUUUGUCCAGAGGCUAUUGAUGGCUGGGAGCCUCUCGUAAGCUAUUUCUUCCCUGGUGGAGACUCUCUUGCCUGGCUGACUCCUUUGAGUUGAAGCACGUGCAGGAGGCCUUUCUUAAAAAUGUGCAGUGCUUGGGGAGGGCUACACAUCCAAUGUCAGCACUUAUUGGUCAUUCAAGGUGGACUCCUGGCCAUGUGACCUAGAACAGGUAGGCCCCACAAGAGCACUGUGGUCCAGGCUCUGGAGCACUUGGGGGCCAGCUUGAGGGUGCCAGGGCUGUUAAGACAAAGACAAGGCUGGAGAUAAAGGGGUAGGGAGCAGCCAGAAAUCAGGUAUCUACUUCUCUGAGCUGAAACCUUGAUGAUCAGAAUGAAAUUUAGGACAUCCCAUCUUCCUCCUCAUACUCUUAAUUUUUUUUUUUUUUUUUUUUAGGUUCUAGUUCCCAGUGCAUCUACAUUAUUUCAAAAUCCUAGCCUCUCCACAGUGU